rnacentral:rRNA from 1 species
GACGAACGCUGGCGGCGUGCUUAACACAUGCAAGUCGAGCGGUAAGGCCCUUUCGGGGGUACACGAGCGGCGAACGGGUGAGUAACACGUGGGUGACCUGCCCUCAGCUCUGGGAUAAGCCUGGGAGACCGGGUCUAAUACCGGAUAUGACUCCAUGACGCAUGUUGUGGGGUGGAAAGCCUUGUGCGGCUGAGGAUGGGCCCGCGGCCUAUCAGCUUGUUGGUGGGGUGAUGGCCUACCAAGGCGA